rnacentral:lncRNA from 1 species
ACCCACGCCGCGCGACCCGCAGCCGCCGCCAGGGCCCUCUGCUGCCGCGGAGGUGCUAGGACAGCCGCGGACGGCCCGCCUCCCCGUGCCCCGGGCCUCGAGGCCAAUAAAAAGCUCGCCCCUCCAGCUCACCGGGUCCGACGGGUACGGUACAAAGUGCUGUCUCUCGCCACAGCCACCUCGUUUAAUCUUCACAACUGCCCCAUCAACUAUGUACUCUUACUGUCCCCAGUUUAUGCAUGAACAGAGAAAGCUGAGAUACGGAGACUAGUGAUCCGUCGAGGUAAUAAACGGCACAGGUGGGGUUUGAACUCCAUCAGUUUGAUUGCAGAGGCCUGGAACAACCCUACAGCCUUCUCUCAGAUCUUUUCUGGACCUUUUUCUAUGCGCUUUGCACCUAGGACGUGAGGCUGCCAAGCUUGGUAUUCAAUAAAUAUUGAUGGAUGAAGGAACAAUGGAAGAAAGGAGUGCAUGGGUAAACAAAUGACAAAUAUGUCAAAGCACGGAUGCAGAUUCUUAGAAUGGGCUAAUGCUGUUUUCUGCUGGAUUUUUGGAUGUGUACAAACGAGUUCUCUCACAAUACAGAUCCACAGUGUCUGGGUCAGAGGAGAACUGAUGCUCCGCAUGGCAUUUUACCAUCCUGCCUGCCUGCCUGGGGCCCUGGGCCCACAGGCUUUGGGGAGAGUGUAUGGCCAGGCUGCAGCCUUCCUGGGAUAAAGCUCUGCCUUUUAGUCUCUUAUCCUACUUUUUAGAAGCCCUUUAAGGUCUUUGUUAAAGGAAAUCUAAUGUGAAGAAUUCCAGGAGAACUGGAUAAGCCUGACUAUGGGUGGGCGUGACUGAAUUACUUCCCGGGCUGGCUAAGGAAGGCCUCCCCCGAAGUGCAUCGGAAGCCUGCAGCUUCUCCUUAUGGCCACUGGAGGGCACUUGGACCAUGAAAUACCAGAUCGUCUCGGCGUCCCAGGUCUUUGGAAAUGUGUGAUUCAAUUCAGCAAACGUUUCAAAAUCAUCACUAUAAAGAUAGCGCUUUUGUGUUGAACAUCCAAUAUGGCGCUAAACACCUUAUAUAUAUGUGUGCGUGUAUAUAUGAACUUGCUUAAUAUUAACUACAAUUGUUGUGAGUUACUUAGGCUAUUUAGGAAAAAAAAAUCAAGGCUUAAAGAAGUCAAAGUACUUACCCAAGAUUGCUUAGCUAAAUAAAAUUUGGGAGUAAGGACUUGAACUCAAGCCCUUGGGCACCAACCAUAAGCAAUAGGUGCACACAAAGCUGAAAUGAGGACUCUCUUAUAAGCAGGAAGACGCACACACCACACAAAUAUUAUUGUUCCUCAACAAUUUACACAUUCUGAAAUUGGAAGAUGACUUACAAUUUGUACAUUACAUGGUAAUGUUUCUUUUUUCCCUUGAAAUGAUGUUAUUAAAUAAAUGAAGUGUCUCACAAUUCAUGGUGUCUUAACUUGGAGGAAAUAAAGUCAUAGUAAUACAAGGCAGGGAAAGAUAAUUUUCAUUUAACAUUUAAAUAGCACUUACUAUGUCCCCAGA